AUUCCACUGGGGUUCUGGGUGUUAACUUACUGAACCCUCUCUACACCCCAGGUGUUAUCUUGGUCCUCAUUCCACAGAUGGGGAAGCUGAGGGAGAAUGCAAGUGGAUAAGCUGCCCAAGACCACGCAUCUGGGGAGCAGCAGAGCCAGAGUUUGAACCCCACCCCAAAACUCCGCUGCGUGCUCUCAACAGUGCGUCACUGUGGCGCACACAUUUGGUGCCCAAUAAUGGUGCCUAUCAAUAACAAGGCCCUGCCAAGGGACUCCCUGGCGGUCCAGUGGUUGGGACUCCGCCUUUCCACUGCAUGGACCGCGGGUUCGAUCUCUGGUCAGGGGACUAAGGUCCUGCUGGCCCUGCUGGGCAGCCAAAAAUUAAAAACAAAACAGAAACAAAGAAAACAAUAAGAAGGCCCCCCUGCUUGUGGCUCAGUCCAUCCUGGGUUCCCCAGGCAGGAAAUGCCUUCCUCCCCCGACAGGAAGUCCCUGUGUGGUCAGUUCUCUGGGCCACGGUGAGCCCGGUGAGCCCGCUGGGUCCCUGCCUGGGAGGGGCCGCCCGGUCAGCGGGCUGCAGAGAUCCCGGGGCCCCGUUCACUGUGGUCGCUGGUUUGGUGUCUUCCUGGGCUUGCCGCAUUGCAGCAUCCCAACGGCACUCUGCAUCCUGUCUCCGGGGUCUGAAACACCACAGCAGGAAAUUGCAUAAUGGGCCUGGCCGCCCUCCACCCAGAUGGCUUAUGGGUGGUGCAGUUUGCUGUCGUGGUUUGGCUUUCGACCUCAGAGUCAGCUCCUGCGCUCUGCGCAUGAGACCGUGGCAUGCGUGUGUGUGUGCUUGGACGUGUGUGAAUGUAUGCGUGUGCACGUAUCAACAGACAAUGGGGUGCGGCCCUGGCUCACAGCAGGAGGAAGCCGGGCUGGACCCCAUCAGGGUCUGCAGUUGCUCGGACAUUCGAAUCUUCACGCUGACAUGCGAGGAUGCUCAGAUGGCUUCCUGCGUUUGAGGGUGACAUUUGGGAGGAGAUUGUGCAGGGGGAGCACUUAUGAGCAUACUGGAUUCCAAGUGGCAUUUCGUCACUCGGUGGAAGCCUCCAGCCUCUCAGGCUGAUAGCAGGUUAAAUUUAGAAGCCCC
ensembl:lncRNA